AUUGAACGCUGGCGGCAUGCCUUACACAUGCAAGUCGAACGGCAGCAUGGGUGCUUGCACCUGAUGGCGAGUGGCGAACGGGUGAGUAAUGCAUCGGAACGUACCCGGAAGUGGGGGAUAACGUAGCGAAAGUUACGCUAAUACCGCAUAUUCUGUGAGCAGGAAAGCGGGGGAUCGCAAGACCUUGCGCUGAUGGAGCGGCCGAUAUCAGAUUAGCUAGUUGGUGAGGUAAAGGCUCACCAAGGCGACGAUCUGUAGCGGGUCUGAGAGGAUGAUCCGCCACACUGGGACUGAGACACGGCCCAGACUCCUACGGGAGGCAGCAGUGGGGAAUUUUGGACAAUGGGGGCAACCCUGAUCCAGCCAUGCCGCGUGAGUG
rnacentral:rRNA from 1 species